AGAUGUUGAAGUUUUGACACCUGAUGUGUGUUGAAAUACCAUACCUUUCAAACAGAAAAGAGAUUGUAUUUAAGGUGCGUGUAAUAAAGGUUCAAUUAGGAGCCACCACGAACAUUGGCCAUGAGCAACUCAUACAGCAAGCAAGAAAUCAAUCAGGAGCCACCAAGUUCAG